ensembl:lncRNA
GAGGUGUUGAUGGUUGUGUUGUAACAUGGUCCUAUAUGGGGUCUCUAGGUGGUGUUGAUGGUUGUGUUGUAACAUGGUCCUAUAUGGGGUCUCUAGGUGGUGUUGAUGGUUGUGUUGUAACAUGGUCCUAUAUGGGGUCUCUAGGAGGUGUUGAUGGUUGUGUUGUAACAUGGUCCUAUAUGGGGUCUCUAGGUGUUGAUGGUUGUGUUGUAACAUGGUCCUAUAUGGGGUCUCUAGGAGGUGUUGAUGGUUGUGUUAUAACAUGGUCCUAUAUGGGGUCUCUAGGUGUUGAUGGUUGUUUUAUAACAUGGUUCUAUAUGGGGUCUCUAGGAGGUGUUGAUGGUUGUGUUGUAACAUGGUCCUAUAUGGGGUCUCUAGGUGGUGUUGAUGGUUGUGUUGUAACAUGGUCCUAUAUGGGGUCUCUAGGUGGUGUUGAUGGUUGUGUUGUAACAUGGUCCUAUAUGGUGUCUAUAGGUGUUGAUGGUUGUGUUGUAACAUGGUCCUAUAUGGGGUCUCUAGGUGGUGUUGAUGGUUGUGUUGUAACAUGGUCCUAUAUGGGGUCUCUAGGAGGUGUUGAUGGUUGUGUUGUAA